rnacentral:lncRNA from 1 species
CACUCGUUUUCGGGUUUGUUGCCCGUUUGUAAAAUAUUUUAUGACGGUAUACAUAUCAAUCUACGUCUCGUCCUGCUCAGUGCGUUUUGAGGGGGUGAAUCUUUUUCCAUCUCCUGAGUCGCACCUCCCCUGGUCAGCAAAGGGUCACUGCCGCAAUGGAGUCAUCCAAACUCAGAGGAUUAAUACACAUCCAUUUAUUGAGAGCGUUCUUAACAACUGACAACAGCCCAUUGGAGGUAACAUUGCCUAAUGGGCUAAUUACAAUUCAUAAGCCUUCGAGGUAACCAGUCAUAGGAAAUGGCUGCUAUGAAGACUCAAAGAAUCGAGGAAGCCACAUCCUGGUGUCAGGUGCACAUCUUCAGUCUGAUGGGUCGUCGGAGGUGGUGGUGUUCAGUUGACGACGACAGUACCAACUUAUUUGUAAGUCCAAAGUCCCAGCACUCAGCCGCCUGCCGGCACUGCCCCACAGCUGUGCCUGUGCGCCCCUGGGGGCAGGAGCACAGGAGAGGCCCCUUCCGUGGGGACAGAGCUCUCUCCCUGCACCCCACCACUGCGCAGCCCCGAGCUGGGAGGGGGGACUGAGAGGGGCGGUCAGAUGGGCAGCAGCCCAUCACAGACGACACGCAGGCUCCUGCUCGCAAAGUACGCC